CAGAGAUGUUGUGAAUGGGCAGGAGGUGGCAGGAGAGAGCCACUGUGGCCUCAGAGAGACUGUGAAGCUGUGGAGUCAUAGAAACCAGCUGGUAGGAGAAAACAGGGAAAUAGGGCAGAACAGGCCCUUGGGGUGAAGAAGAACGGGAGUGGGGAGUGUCCACAGAGACCCAGAAGCAAGGCCACCAGAGAGGAGAAUGUGCCGAUGCUGAGAGCAGUUGGAGUCCCACCAGCAUGGACCCUGAGAGAAGGAUUUGAAUGCAAGCAGUUGUUCUGCUAAGUCGUAGGGGUGUGGACAAACAAGACCCGGAGGAGAAGAAGCUGAUGACGUGUGUGUUAUCAUGCAAGUUAUGUUCUGGGUGAGGACAGCUGGAGAGCCCUGGGGAGCCCUGGCAGCCCCUGCAAAGCAUGUCUCAGUCCCCAGCAGAGGGAGAGGAAGCUGGGGACUGAUCUUCAUCACCAAAUUCCCAUAUCCAGAUGGGUCCUGGGUAACUUCCAGAGACAUGAACUCUGACCCUUCCAGAUUGCCCUGCCUGGGCCUAAUGUGGGAAGUCUCAGGAAUUCACAGUGGACAAGAGGAGAGUGUGGCAGGGAGAUGCCAGCGCUAUUACCUCUCAAGCUCUCUGUGGCUGUAGAGAGAAGCAACUCCCUGCCAAAGGAGCAAAUGAGGCCCAGCCUUCUGCAGAAACAUCCAUCGCCCUGUGCUGCUCCAGGCAGAAUCCCAUCGAAUAAUUCCCUUCUGCGGGAGCUGGCUCAGAGAGCAUUCAUCUUCACAAGCUCAUUAUUCAUCUGAUUAUUUUCAUGCCAUCCCAGUGGGAAAUAAAAGUCAUCAAUAAAUCACAA